CAGCAGCCGCGGUAAUACAGAGGGUGCGAGCGUUAAUCGGAUUUACUGGGCGUAAAGCGUGCGUAGGCGGCUUUUUAAGUCGGAUGUGAAAUCCCUGAGCUUAACUUAGGAAUUGCAUUCGAUACUGGGAAGCUAGAGUAUGGGAGAGGAUGGUAGAAUUCCAGGUGUAGCGGUGAAAUGCGUAGAGAUCUGGAGGAAUACCGAUGGCGAAGGCAGCCAUCUGGCCUAAUACUGACGCUGAGGUACGAAAGCAUGGGGAGCAAACAGGAUUAGAUACCCGAGUAGUCCCUGUCUUUUAUAC
rnacentral:rRNA from 1 species